rnacentral:rRNA from 1 species
GGGCCUUGCGGCGUGCUAUACAUGCAGUCGAGCGGACAGAUGGGAGCUUGCUCCCUGAUGUUAGCGGCGGACGGGUGAGUAACACGUGGGUAACCUGCCUGUAAGACUGGGAUAACUCCGGGAAACCGGGGCUAAUACCGGAUGGUUGUUUGAACCGCAUGGUUCAAACAUAAAAGGUGGCUUCGGCUACCACUUACAGAUGGACCCGCGGCGCAUUAGCUAGUUGGUGAGGUAAUGGCUCACCAAGGCAACGAUGCGUAGCCGACCUGAGAGGGUGAUCGGCCACACUGGGACUGAGACACGGCCCAGACUCCUACGGGAGGCAGCAGUAGGGAAUCUUCCGCAAUGGACGAAAGUCUGACGGAGCAACGCCGCGUGAGUGAUGAAGGUUUUCGGAUCGUAAAGCUCUGUUGUUAGGGAAGAACAAGUACCGUUCGAAUAGGGCGGUACCUUGACGGUACCUAACCAGAAAGCCACGGCUAACUACGUGCCAGCAGCCGCGGUAAUACGUAGGUGGCAAGCGUUGUCCGGAAUUAUUGGGCGUAAAGGGCUCGCAGGCGGUUUCUUAAGUCUGAUGUGAAAGCCCCCGGCUCAACCGGGGAGGGUCAUUGGAAACUGGGGAACUUGAGUGCAGAAGAGGAGAGUGGAAUUCCACGUGUAGCGGUGAAAUGCGUAGAGAUGUGGAGGAACACCAGUGGCGAAGGCGACUCUCUGGUCUGUAACUGACGCUGAGGAGCGAAAGCGUGGGGAGCGAACAGGAUUAGAUACCCUGGUAGUCCACGCCGUAAACGAUGAGUGCUAAGUGUUAGGGGGUUUCCGCCCCUUAGUGCUGCAGCUAACGCAUUAAGCACUCCGCCUGGGGAGUACGGUCGCAAGACUGAAACUCAAAGGAAUUGACGGGGGCUCGCACAAGCGGUGGAGCAUGUGGUUAAUUCGAAGCAACGCGAAGAA